UUGACGGGGGCCCGCACAAGCGGUGGAGCAUGUGGUUUAAUUGGACGCAACGCGAAGAACCUUACCAAGGCUUGACAUCCUCAGAAUCCCUGGACACCACGCCCCCCCCUUCGGGGAACUGAGAGACAGGUGGUGCAUGGUUGUCGUCAGCUCGUGUCGUGAGAUGUUGGGUUAAGUCCCGCAACGAGCGCAACCCCUGUAUUUAGUUGCUAACAAGUAAGGUUGAGCACUCUAGAUAGACUNCCGGUGGGGAACCGGAGGAAGGUGGGGAUGACGUCAAAUCAUCAUGCCCCUUAUGUCUUGGGCUACACACGUGCUACAAUGGCCGGCGUACACGGAAGCGAAGCCGCGAGGUGAAGCAAAUCCGAGAAAGCCGGUCUCAGUUCGGAUUGCAGGCUGCAACUCGCCUGCAUGAAGUCGGAAUCGGUAGUAAUCGCAGGUCAGCAUACUGCGGUGAAUACGUUCCCGGGCCUUGUACUCUCCGCCCGUCAC
rnacentral:rRNA from 1 species